AUCUUCCGCAAUGGACGAAAGUCUGACGGAGCGACGCCGCGUGCGGGAUGAAGGCCCUUGGGUUGUAAACCGCUGUCAGAGGGGAUGAAAUCUCCGGAGGUUCUCCUCCGGAGUUGACAGAGCCUCAGAGGAAGCACGGGCUAAGUAUGUGCCAGCAGCCGCGGUAAUACAUACUGUGCGAACGUUAUUCGGAAUCACUGGGCUUAAAGGGUGCGUAGGCGGUGGUUCAAGUCAGAUGUGAAAUGCCAGAGCUCAACUGAGGCAUUGCGUUUGAAACUGGAUCGCUUGAGUAUCCCAGGGGUGUGCGGAACUGCCAGUGGAGCGGUGAAAUGUGUUGAUAUUGGCAGGAACACCGGAGGCGAAAGCGGCACACUGGGGGAUAACUGACGCUGAGGCACGAAAGCCAGGGUAGCGAACGGGAUUAGAUACCCCGGUAGUCCUGGCUGUAAACGAUGAGCACUGGGCGGGAGGAAGUUCGCUUCUUCCUGCCGUAGCGAAAGCGUUAAGUGCUCCGCCUGGGGAGUAUGGUCGCAAGGCUGAAACUCAAAGGAA
rnacentral:rRNA from 1 species